GGGUCUGUGGUUUAGUGGGUUAGUUCGCCUUAUUACAUAUCUUCACCAUGAAUUUCAUCUAAUGCCAAGUUCAGUAUAAUACUCCCUUAGCAUAAUUGCCUCCAAAGGCCUAUGUGGGAGUGGUCCGGGGUUCGAUUCCCCGCGGAUCCA
rnacentral:tRNA from 1 species